rnacentral:SRP_RNA from 1 species
GCUGGGCAUGGUGGCGCAUGCCUGUAGUCCCAGCUACUCAGGAGGCUGAGGCAGGAGAAUCGCUUGAACCCAGAAGGCAGAGGGUGCAGUGAGCUAAGAUCGUGCCACUGCACUCCAGCCUGGGCAACAGAGUGAGACUCUGUCUCUU